rnacentral:rRNA from 1 species
UACAGAGGGUGCAAGCGUUAAUCGGAAUUACUGGGCGUAAAGCGCGCGUAGGUGGUUUGUUAAGUUGGAUGUGAAAUCCCCGGGCUCAACCUGGGAACUGCAUUCAGAACUGACAAGCUAGAGUAUGGUAGAGGGUGGUGGAAUUUCCUGUGUAGCGGUGAAAUGCGUAGAUAUAGGAAGGAACACCAGUGGCGAAGGCGACCACCUGGACUGAUACUGACGCUGAGGAGCGAAAGCGUGGGGAGCGAACAGG